rnacentral:tRNA from 1 species
AAGGAUUUAAGUUAAAUAAAACUAGUAACCUUCAAAGUUACCAACAAAGACUGCACCCACUUUAAGCCUUA